GUGGCUCAGUGGUAGAGCACUUGCCUUGCAUGCAUGAGGUCCUGGGUUCUAUUCCUCAGC
rnacentral:tRNA from 1 species